CGGUGGAUGCCCUGGCAGUCAGAGGCGAUGAAGGACGUGCUAAUCUGCGAUAAGCGUCGGUAAGGUGAUAUGAACCGUUAUAACCGGCGAUUUCCGAAUGGGGAAACCCAGUGUGUUUCGACACACUAUCAUUAACUGAAUCCAUAGGUUAAUGAGGCGAACCGGGGGAACUGAAACAUCUAAGUACCCCGAGGAAAAGAAAUCAACCGAGAUUCCCCCAGUAGCGGCGAGCGAACGGGGAGCAGCCCAGAGCCUGAAUCAGUGUGUGUGUUAGUGGAAGCGUCUGGAAAGGCGCGCGAUACAGGGUGACAGCCCCGUACACAAAAAUGCACAUGCUGUGAGCUCGAUGAGUAGGGCGGGACACGUGGUAUCCUGUCUGAAUAUGGGGGGACCAUCCUCCAAGGCUAAAUACUCCUGACUGACCGAUAGUGAACCAGUACCGUGAGGGAAAGGCGAAAAGAACCCCGGCGAGGGGAGUGAAAAAGAACCUGAAACCGUGUACGUACAAGCAGUGGGAGCACGCUUAGGCGUGUGACUGCGUACCUUUUGUAUAAUGGGUCAGCGACUUAUAUUCUGUAGCAAGGUUAACCGAAUAGGGGAGCCGAAGGGAAACCGAGUCUUAACUGGGCGUUAAGUUGCAGGGUAUAGACCCGAAACCCGGUGAUCUAGCCAUGGGCAGGUUGAAGGUUGGGUAACACUAACUGGAGGACCGAACCGACUAAUGUUGAAAAAUUAGCGGAUGACUUGUGGCUGGGGGUGAAAGGCCAAUCAAACCGGGAGAUAGCUGGUUCUCCCCGAAAGCU
rnacentral:rRNA from 1 species